GAUGAACGCUGGCGGCGUGCCUAACACAUGCAAGUCGAACGGAAGGACGCUAAGCGCUCGUCUCUGCUGUUGGCGACGGGCGGGUGAGUAACGCGUGGAUAGCCUUCCUCUUAGUCUUGGGUAACUUCGGGAGGCCGCAGCUACUACCAGAUCAUAUUUUGAACGGCAUGGUUCAAAAGUGCUUGACGGUUUUGCUGACACUUUUAGCUGGUUCCGCGUUGGAUUAGCUAGUUGGUAAGGUAAAGGCUUAGCAAGGCAACGAUGCGUAGCCGACCGGAGAGGGUGAUCGGCCACACUGGAACUGAGACACGGUCCAGACUCCUACGGGAGGCAGCAGUAGGGAAUAUUCGGCAAUGGGCGAAAGCCUGACGGAGCAACGCCGCGUGAGUGAUGAAGGUCUUCGGGUCGUAAAGCCCUGUUAUUGGGGAAGAACAGCUGUGGAUGUAAACGUGGCUGUUGUGACGGUACCUAAAGAAAAAGCGCCGGCUAACUACGUG
rnacentral:rRNA from 1 species